UACACAUGCAAGUCGAACGGUAACGCGGGGCAACCUGGCGACGAGUGGCGAACGGGUGAGUAAUACAUCGGAACGUGCCCAGUAGUGGGGGAUAGCCCGGCGAAAGCCGGAUUAAUACCGCAUACGACCUACGGGUGAAAGCGGGGGAUCGAAAGACCUCGCGCUAUUGGAGCGGCCGAUGUCAGAUUAGCUAGUUGGUGGGGUAAAAGCCUACCAAGGCGACGAUCUGUAGCUGGUCUGAGAGGACGACCAGCCACACUGGGACUGAGACACGGCCCAGACUCCUACGGGAGGCAGCAGUGGGGAAUUUUGGACAAUGGGGGCAACCCUGAUCCAGCCAUGCCGCGUGCGGGAAGAAGGCCUUCGGGUUGUAAACCGCUUUUGUCGGGGAAGAAAAGGUACGCGCUAAUACCGCGGACUAAUGACGGUACCCGAAGAAUAAGCACCGGCUAACUACGUGCCAGCAGCCGCGGUAAUACGUAGGGUGCAAGCGUUAAUCGGAAUUACUGGGCGUAAAGCGUGCGCAGGCGGCUUUGCAAGACAGAUGUGAAAUCCCCGGGCUCAACCUGGGAACUGCAUUUGUGACUGCAUGGCUAGAGUGCGGCAGAGGGGGAUGGAAUUCCGCGUGUAGCAGUGAAAUGCGUAGAUAUGCGGAGGAACACCGAUGGCGAAGGCAAUCCCCUGGGCCUGCACUGACGCUCAUGCACGAAAGCGUGGGGAGCAAACAGGAUUAGAUACCCUGGUAGUCCACGCCCUAAACGACGUCAACUGGUUGUUGGACGGCUUGCUGUUCAGUAACGAAGCUAACGCGUGAAGUUGACCGCCUGGGGAGUACGGCCGCAAGGUUGAAACUCAAAAAAUUGACGGGGACCCGCACAAGCGGUGGAUGAUGUGGUUUAAUUCGAUGCAACGCGAAAAACCUUACCUACCCUUGACAUGCCAGGAACUUACCAGAGAUGGUUUGGUGCUCGAAAGAGAGCCUGGACACAGGUGCUGCAUGGCCGUCGUCAGCUCGUGUCGUGAGAUGUUGGGUUAAGUCCCGCAACGAGCGCAACCCUUAUCAUUAGUUGCUACGCAAGGGCACUCUAAUGAGACUGCCGGUGACAAACCGGAGGAAGGUGGGGAUGACGUCAGGCCAUCAUGGCCCUUAUGGGUAGGGCUACACACGUCAUACAAUGGCCGGUACAGAGGGCUGCCAACCCGCGAGGGGGAGCUAAUCUCAGAAAACCGGUCGUAGUCCGGAUCGCAGUCUGCAACUCGACUGCGUGAAGUCGGAAUCGCUAGUAAUCGCGGAUCAGCUUGCCGCGGUGAAUACGUUCCCGGGUCUUGUACACACCGCCCGUCACACCAUGGGAGCGGGUUCUGCCAGAAGUAGUUAGCCUAACCGUAAGGAGGGCGAUUACCACGGCAGGGUUCGUGACUGGGGUGAAGUCGUAACAAGGUA
rnacentral:rRNA from 1 species